UGUGAUGGCGCCCGCUGGGACAGGAAGACCAAACGUCUGGCCGAGUCGUACCCCAAAGUGUUGCAUGACACCAUGCCGGUGAUGUGGUUGAAGCCCAUCAAGCGUCUGGACAUUCCCGAACGGAUGUGCUACCUGUCGCCCGUCUACAAGACCAGCGAGCGACGAGGCACGCUGUCCACCACCGGCCACUCCACCAACUACGUCAUCGCCAUGACGCUCAACACGGACGUGGACGCCGAGCACUGGAUCAGACGGGGGGUGGCGCUCCUUUGUCAGCUCAGCUCCUGAAGAAAACCUUUCAUGUUUUCGCCAUCGUCUGGAUUGGGAUGGCACUGUCGAUUUGUUUGCAGCGUUUCGUCGGACCAAACCGGUGACUGAAUCCUAAUCACGUGAUGGCAAUUUAAAAACAUGUCCCAUAAGGGAAAAAAA